CAGCAAGAGCAGUGAGGCAGUGGCACAGGCUGCCCAUAAAGGUGGUGGAGUCACCGUCCCUGGGGGUGUUCCAGAGCCGUGUGGAUGUGGCACUGAGGGCCACGGGCAGUUGGUGGCUGGGCUAGCUUUUAACUUCUGGUAAAAGCUCCUGGUCAUUAUAAAAUAAAAAAUGUUUAGGUUUUUAAAGGUAAGUUAUUUCCAAUCCAUAAACACAGGUUCUUUAUAUCCUAAGGAAUCAGCCCCUGUGGUAAUCUUCUAGGAGAAACAUAGCACUCGUAUCAUAAAGCCCAGCAGUUUGGGGGACUUUAUAUUCUUUGUAUUCCCAUUCUAUAGGAAUCUUGUGAUUUGACAUGGAUCAAAAUCCAGACCUACCCAAUGAUACGUAAGAAGAAUGAAAUAUUACCGAAACUUUCCUAUAAAAUGAUACAGUCCAUUGUGAGAGCAACUGUGGUCAGAAUCUUAAUGACAGUUUGAUUUUAAUGUAUUGGAAAUGAUAGUCCAGGAGGAUUUGUAACCUUGGGCAGUUAAGAAAAAUGUCUCUGGGUGUAUCUCUGCAUCUUUAUGCAUCUAAACACUUUCAGGGAAUAGGUCCUCGAUGCACAUAAAGCUCAUACAAACGAGCAUCUGUGUCACUUGUGUCAUGGACUUCAGAGUAACUUAAUGCAAGAAACAUUAGGACUCUAUCACAUGCUGUUAAGAAACGGAACAAUGGAGUUGAAAUGGGCAAAGAUGAUUCAGUUCAAUCUGAGGAGCCUCUUUGUAUUUCCCAUCAGUUGAACAAUCCUUUCAUCUUUCAAGGAAAUUGUAACUGUAAUUCACUGGGACAAAGUUAGCAACUUCUCUUUUUAUCUAAGUCCUAUUGCUGGUGCUUGUCACAGCCGUUCAGGGACCUCCUGGGAAUCCAAAGGGACAGCUGCAUCCUCCUCUCUCAGCCAGCAAGAGGCUGGGUAUCAUUAACAACGCGUAAAUUAGUAGGGAAUUUUUGAGGGGGUAAAUGUACCCCAGCAGGAAACCAUGGAUGAAGAGACAGGAUACACAUUUCGGCUCAAAGCCCUGCCUGUCAGUGGAAGGCUGUGACAUUUUCCACCUCAAAGUUAGACACUCCUAAGUUUGCUGCAGCAAGGUGCCCGUCAUCGUUUUGGUCCACGGAAUCAACAGCCGGAUUUCACAGAAGUCCAUGACUUCUUAUUACCGUCUUGAGGAAGCAGGAAGCCCCUCCUAGUAAAAUGGUGCUUUGCUAGCGCCUCCCUGCUGCUUCCACGGGAGCAUGCCAGAUCGCUCUCUUUCCAUCAGCGUGUACCUACUUGAUAGACUUGUCGCCUUCCUUGUUGUCACUCAAAAUCUAUGUUUUUCUUUCGCCACCUGGGUCACUUCUCCCAGCCUCAGCUGAACAGGAUUCCACUUGAGAGGCCUUCAGCGGAUAUCAUUGUAAUUAUAGCCUUUCCCUCCUGACCCUCUUUUCUCACACUGUACCGCAGACCAACAACGUUUACCCUUUCCUUAGCAGCUGAGCAAGCUGACGAGCUCAGUGUAAACGCAGAGGGUCCUCUCAGGGUAACUCAGCUAGGAGGGGUCCUGGAGGUAAUAAGAAGGAUGAAGAAGGUUUUGCCCCUUCCCCAAAGAGAAAGCUAAUUGAAAACCAGUUAUUUUCGUGCUAUUAAAGAAACUCAAUCAGUAACAGGCAAGAAAUAAUCCUCUUAUGUAACAGGUCAAAUAAUAAUAUGUCAUCAAGGUGCUUUUAACUUCAUUAAAAUUUGUCCCUUGAUAAGUGACAUUUUAAUUAUGUGAUCAGGUAAUAAAAUAAUAUGUGCCUGAAAACUUAUGUCCGACCCACACAUUAUUAAUGGUCCUAAAUUAACCCCAGCUGAGAGCACGGAGCUUUAUCUUAGAUAGCAAAUCCUCUACUGAACAUUUUUCACGUGCACAUUUUAGAGUUUUGAACCCAUGAUUCAGUUUGGCGAAAUAACUGACAUAGAGACAUUAAUCCAGCCCAUAAAACAAACAAUAAAGGUAACAAAUGCUUUUUAAUCUGCAUUGUAAUGGUGCCGUGAUCUAUCAAAAUGUCAGGAAUUUGAGGAUUAGACUUCUAUGCUGCUUUAACACAAGUAUUCCCCCAAGGGUCUUGGCAGUUCAUCUAAACCUGGGAGGUGGGUCCCAAAAUGGUGCAAGCAUCUCAUGAACCAGACAAAGCAGCCACUCCCAUACAUGGAAGCACAUUUCUUUCAAGGCUGGAUGAAUUUGCCGAUAUGAUUCUGCUUCCUCAUCCCAGGCAGAAGAACAUCUAUUCUUCCUUUUUCGGGGGGCUUAGUUGAAGCCUUGCGCUUCGGUUACUCUCUUACCACUGCCCAGAGUACGUGUGGUUCCUUGGAAAGCACAGAGCAACUCACGCCAAGCACUCCGCCUGUGUUUGGCAGGGCACGAUGCGCUGCGCUGAGCCUCGAGCAUGGCAGCCUCCGUGCCCAAAGAGCAGCAAUACUUAGCCCAUCCAUCUUUGCUGGUGGGAAGAUGUUCUAAAAACAGGAGAGCUGACUUCUUACGGGAGAGUUGGAUGCAAAAGAAAGACACUCAUUUCCCAGUAAAGAUUAAACCACAGUUGGGAUGCCAGAUGAACAAGGCAUUAAAAUCUACAGCCAAGAUGUAUUAGCAGACCUGCCUGACUCCAUGAGAGAGUAAAGCCAGCCUGAGGUAUGUGAAUGCUUCACUCAGACGGAAAGAUACAGCCGUGGUAAGUCCUCAGAGGAUGACUACUCAACUGCCUCAUCUUCCCAGCUUCAUCCAGGAAAAGAGACAUCCUUGUUGGGUGGAAACAUUCAAUGAGACAGGCAGGGAGGGCUUCUAUAUGUGGGCCCAGUGGGAGAAAACUUGCAAGAUGUCCCCAGGGAGGAAGCAAACACCAUUCUAACCUUGGGUACGCUUGAGCAAAGGAUGGCCUGGAGAGCAUGGUCUGGGCUUCAGUAUAAGAUUGCUCCUGAUCUGUGAAAAACCAAAUCAGGAGUGUUUUUUCAAGCUAGGAGAGAGAAGGGUAGGUUGCGUAGGUUUAGGCGUGAAGAGGCAGUACCUGUAGUACCUUAACUUGUCUAUCAAAUAUCAGAAUAUGACUCUGAUAGGAAGGCGAUCUUAGUUAUUGGAACCCUUUAUGUACAGUGACCUUUAAAAAAAACCCAACAAAACAGGACUUAAGAAAAAAAACCAUCCAUGCAAAACAAAAAAAAUCUUUAUCUGUGAACUUUUAAAGCUGCUUGCAUUUGUAGAUAUUUGUUGGAGCAAAAUCCAUUAGAAAACAGAAUGAACUGUGCUAGUCAGAAAACUCAGUGCAAGUCAUAAACUCCACAGGCUCAGCUCCAGAAUUCAGCUGCUGUGUCCUAAACAACGUGAGUCUAAUCUAACGUAUAAACAUCUCCAAAGCAUUCAUCACUGUAGUAUCUAGGUCAUGUACAUAGAUUUCAUAAUAUAGUGGGAUCUGUCCAGAAGGGAUGAUCAAUUUCCCAUUCAUCUGCUGUGCUGCCUAUUGGCUUUGCCAUUACAUUAAAAAUAAUGGAAGUUACUCUCUGAUCACAAGCACGUAAUUCACAAAUGGGCUGCCCCAAUGUGAUUUUAAUGCGGGCAUUCAGGUAAGAUUUAUCGUGUUUAGCUUUGCUAUUUUGCAGCUCCCCAGACAUUUCCCAAGAGCAGAGUCUCUGGCUGCAUCACUCCAUUCGCAUCCUGCUGUUUCCAGAGAGCAAAUUUGGCUUUCAGCAACCCCAGGAGAGAAAGCUAACUGGAAGGACAAAGGUAGGCUGUUUCAGAGAUACACACGUGCAUCUGCCACCUCUUUCAUUCCGGAGAGCUGGAAGCUGUUUGGGAACUUCGAUGUCCUGUGGGGAGACACAGACCAAGCAGGGACGGGCCUGGCCUGGCCUGGGGGCUGUUGUGUUUUAUGCCUAAGGGGCGUACAGAAAUCUCCACGCCCACCCAGCAACCAGCAGAAUAUGCUUUCUUCCCAUCCCUGGUAUUUCCUCUUGUGGCCUUUCUGCAAUGCUGGGUGCAAACAAAUGCAGUGUCCAAAUGCUGAAAGGCACGGAAGUUACCCCCAAAUUAUGCUGGUGACCCGCAGAAGAGCUGGGUACAUUUAUGCAUUGGAAAGACAGGUGCCCCAAAAGACUCUGGUGGCAGUGCUCCUUUAAAUUAGAAAAAAAAGAAAAGAAAAAGGGAAAAAAAAAAGCAGUGAGAACAGGAAUGGUUCUGAAAUGGAAAGUAUGUAAUAAAAACUGUUAUUUAUUAAUAGUGCUGCUGGAAACUCCCUGGAAACUGCAUCUGCCAGCAGCGAUAUCUGCAUGUCAAUCUAACUCCCUCUUUUUAUUCUGGAGCAAAAAAGCUGCAUUAUUGCUCUUGCUGCUGUGAUCCCCUCUCAGGCUGCUCUGAUACAUGCCUCUCCAGUUCCCUCCUUUUGGGACAAAUCCCCUCCCAUGCCAUCUGCCUCACGCUCCAGCUUCUCCUCAGCCCUCCCAGCACACAGCCCGGGCCGAGGCCCCUCAGCACCCUGCCUGAGCCCACAGCUACAAGCACUGUGCUGGGGGAAGUUUUGGAGCUCCCCGGUACUUCUGUCUGCCCUGAGAGCCUCAGUGAUGUUUCUGAGAUCGUGAGGGACUCUGAAGGACUGUGGCCGUAUCACCGCUGUGGGCUCAGAUGUUGCCAAAACACUGAAUAGACCCUGUGGUUCCUCUCCUGCUUGCAGGCCUUCCUGGCCAGGGCAGGAGGUGAUGGGACCUGAUGUUAACUUCGUAUCAUAUCCUGCAUCUCUUCUUUGCUCCGGUAGCCUCCAAAACCAUUGGCGUGCACAGGCAGCUAAAGCCACCAAGGUGACAGGGUAGCAUCCUGACAAAACCCUUGCUGGAGGGUAGAUAGAGGAUGAUGUGACAUUUUUCCAUCUACCAUCAUAAAACUGGUGGUGGGCCAACUUGGUGUCCAGUUUACUCCCUGUGUUUGAAGUUUUUUACUAGACAGCCUCUUCCAGGUGCUCUGAUCCAGGCACUGGCUUCGGAUGCUCUUCCCUAAAUCAAGCUGCGUGCCUGACUCUCCCCAUACAUUAACGAGCAAUCUGGUGCACUCCUGCAGCCAAGGAGCAGUGCGGCAAAGGAGCAGCUUACAUCAGAGCUGCAAUGAUGAGAGCUGGAUGUGGUGGAAAGGGAGCAGGCCUCUAGGAAAGAAGGCUCAGGGCACAUCCAGCGUACCAAAUUCUGCAGACUCCCUCGAACCCUUCGCUUUUUAACCCCGACAAGGUCACACUUCUGCUGGGUGAUGUCAGACCCAGUGAUCGAACUGCCGACCUGCAGCCAUCUAAGAGCAGGGAAAUGACUCUCAAGUAGGGCACAACGCCUCUGAUGUCUAACCCUAAGGAGAAUCAUUCAUCCUCCUCUUUCCUGAGAGGUGGAAGCGUACCAGCAGCACGGAGCUGCACAACAAGGACGAAGGACAGCCUGUCCUGUCCUAUGCAAAAAAGUCCCACUCUUGAAGCGAGGCUUCAGAACGGUGUGCGCGACUUUGAUUUGCAUCCAGAGUGGAAACACGCUUGCCAGCCAUCAGGCUGAUCUGAUUUGAAGCAGCUGAGAUAUUAAAUGCACUAAACCAGAAUGUAUAAUAGCUGCGCUGGCAGACCUUUAAUUAUUGUCGUGCUUGUGGGCACCGAUAUCAUUCAAAUUAAAAGCUUUCCCCACUA